rnacentral:lncRNA from 1 species
GGACUGUCCGGUUCAACCAGUUAUAUCGGGAACCGGUCACUAGACUGGUCCGUGGAGGAAAAUUGGUGACUUGGCCGGUUCCUGGUUGAACUGACGAGUCACCAUUCUUUUAAAAAUAAAGAAUUUUGUAUGUGGCAGCAAGAGGUGAAGAUAAAAGUGAGAAGAAAGUGAAGAUGAAGAUAAAAAUGAAAAAGAGAAGAAGGUGAAGAUAAAAGUGAGAAGAAAGUGAAGAUGAAAGAAAUAAGGUGAAUAUGAAGAUGAAAGAAAUAAAGUGAAGAUGGAGUGACAUGAAGUGAGAUCUGUGAUAUGCAUAAAAAGUGAGAUCUGUGAGAUGUGUAAACAGU